rnacentral:lncRNA from 1 species
AUCCACACCCCUUUCUUUACUUUUCACUUUUCACUUUUUAAAAACCAAAAUCGCCUCUGUGAAGCAUCACGGUACUUAGAGUAUCGUGAUGUACCGUGAAGACAAUCGCUUGUUUACCCCGAUUCAAGUACCGUGAUUUUUCUCAUUACUUCUCAUUCAAGCCCCCAAAGCUUUCCCUCCUCUCUUUCUGAGCUUGUGAGAGGAUUGGAGUUUUUCUCUGCAGCUCGUUCAAACCCCAAAAGCUUUCUCUCUUUUCUCUUUAAGCUUGUGAGAGGAUUGGGGUCUUUCACUGCAAAAGAAAAAGCAAGGGGAUGAAAAAGGAGGAAGGAAGAGAAAGACAAAAAGAUCAAGAGGAAUAGGUUGGGUUAGGAUUUUCACUACCUUUGAGAGAUCC